ACGCGCAGCGGCCGUUAGGUUGUCUCAGCAGUUAUCUCUCGCUGCAGGUCUGCCCGGUGACGGACGCUGACGCUUUAUUUUCGUAUGUUGAUACAAAGGCUUAAUCAUCACAGCAUGAGAAGACAGCACCAUCUCUUGGGCUUCAGAUACUGUAACCAUAUAACAAAUAGGAAGGGGCAGAAUCAGCACCGGUAUCGGUUCAUAGCAGGUUCAACCAUGCUGUGUCAAUCAUAUCAGCUCACGGAAGUCAUAGGAGACAGGUCUCUUC
rnacentral:lncRNA from 1 species